rnacentral:tRNA from 1 species
AGGCCCCGGGGUGUUACAUGUGGGAUUGCAAAUCCCAAGAAGCAGGCUAGAGGCCUGCCGGGGCUUC